rnacentral:rRNA from 2 species
AUCUCCUACGGGAGGCAGCAGUGGGGAAUUUUGGACAAUGGGCGCAAGCCUGAUCCAGCCAUGCCGCGUGAGUGAAGAAGGCCUUCGGGUUGUAAAGCUCUUUCAGGUGGAAAGAAAUCGCACUUUUUAAUACAGGGUGUGGAUGACGGUACCAUCAGAAGAAGCACCGGCUAACUACGUGCCAGCAGCCGCGGUAAUAA